rnacentral:tRNA from 1 species
UCCCUGGUGGCUCAGAGGUUAAAGCAUCUGCCUGCAAUGCAGGAGACCUAGGUUCGAUCCCUGGGUUGGGAA